rnacentral:rRNA from 1 species
UACGUAGGGUGCAAGCGUUGUCCGGAAUUAUUGGGCGUAAAGAGCUCGUAGGCGGUCUGUUGCGUCCGCUGUGAAAACUCGGGGCUUAACCCCGAGCCUGCAGUGGAUACGGGCAGACUAGAGGUAGGUAGGGGAGAAUGGAAUUCCCGGUGUAGCGGUGAAAUGCGCAGAUAUCGGGAGGAACACCGGUGGCGAAGGCGGUUCUCUGGGCAGUAACUGACGCUGAGGAGCGAAAGCGUGGGGAGCGAACAGG